rnacentral:misc_RNA from 1 species
UACGGAGGAUGCAAGCGUUGUUCGGAAUCACUGGGCUUAAAGAGCGUGUAGGUGGGGUGUCAGGCGUCGGGUGAAAUCCCUCGGCUCAACCGAGGAACUGCCUGGCGAACCGGCAUUCUUGAGGCAGGUAGAGGUGGCUGGAACGACGGGUGGAGCGGUGAAAUGGGUAGAUAUCCGUUGGAACGCCGGCGGCGAAAGCGAGCCACUGGGCCUGUCCUGACACUGAGACGCGAAAGCGUGGGGAGCAAACAGG